rnacentral:lncRNA from 13 species
CAUUCCUCCCACAUGCAACAUACCCUCUCCCUUAUCAAGACAUCACAAAGGUUCAACUAUUACAGCAUCAGGCUCCGGCUGGACAUUCCAGAUCUCAUUAUCUCAGUCAGCUCCAGGUGUAAAUGAAUCUGCUCAAGUUUCUGAUGACCUCAGGACUAAAGAGACCAAGUUGCAGGAAGAUGUCAGCUGGGCCUGCAAACAUCUGAUGACUUGACCAGCCUGGAUGUCCAAGAUGGCUCACAUGCAUGGUUUAGAGCUGAUGCUGCUGUUGGCUGUGAGCUCAGCUGGGCUGUCUUCAGUGUCUACAUGUGGGCUUUCCAGCACAGCGCUCUCAGGACACUUGGCCUUCUUCCAUGCUGCUGGUCUACCCUGGAGCUAAUAUCCCAAAAGAACCAGGCAAGAGCUGUCUGAUCAUUUCUGACCCAGUUUUGAAAGUUAAAAACAGUGUCACAUCUGCUGCAUUCUAUUGGUUAUAAGGUGCUCACUAAGUCAUCCCGGAUUCAUGGGUAGGAGACGUAGAUAUCACCCCUCCAUGAGAUGGGUGACAAACAAUUUGCAGUUUACCUUUGGGAUAGCCAUGAGAAUCACUUUAAGUUGGGUUUUGGGGUGAGAGGGAGCAUUGAGAACAUGACCAGUUGGACAUGAAGGUACCCCGGCUGUGGUGAAGAUGGAUUGAGUGGUGAUGCACAGGGCUACUAUAUGCCAUGUCAAGUCAUAUUAUAUGACUAUCUAAUAAAGGCCAUGAAGAAGCCCAAAAGUGUUGCCUCUUAUUUGCAGGAUCAAGACACCCAAGCAGGUUGUGUGAAGAUACAGAGAGAAGGUAGCCAUCUGCAAGCUAUAGAGAGAGGCUGCAAGAGUGGUCGAUCCUGUUGAUGCCUUGAUGUUGGACUUCCAGCUUCCUCAACUGUGCUCACACAAGUUUCUGCUGUUGAAGUCACUCAGGCUGCAAUACUUUGUUAUGGCAGCCCUAGAAAACUAGUACAAAGUCUUUCAAGCUGAUUAUGGUAUCCUUUUUUGCAUGCCCUGAUCAUUUCUUGAGCAUUUCUUUACUUCCUAGCACAAUAGGACAUUCUGUGUCAUGUAGUACUUUUUCUGCCUGUGGUAGACAGCACAUGGCCUCCUAAGGAGGUCCACAGGAAUCCUCUACACCUAUGAAUAAG